UACGGGGGGGGCAAGCGUUGUUCGGAAUUACUGGGCGUAAAGGCGCGUAGGCGGCCUGCUAAGUCGGACGUGAAAUCCCUCGGCUCAACCGGGGAACUGCGUCCGAUACUGGUGGGCUCGAAUCCGGGAGAGGGAUGUGGAAUUCCAGGUGUAGCGGUGAAAUGCGUAGAUAUCUGGAGGAACACCGGUGGCGAAGGCGGCAUCCUGGACCGGUAUUGACGCUGAUGCGCGAAAGCCAGGGGAGCAAAGCGGG
rnacentral:rRNA from 1 species